AUCAGGCUUAAAUGCAAGUCGAGGGGUAGCAGGAUCUAGCGAUAGAUUGCUGACGACCGGCGCACGGGUGAGUAACACGUAUCCAACCUGCCCAUUACUCGGGGAUAACCCCUUCNAAAGAAGGCCUAAUAUCCGAUGGCAUAACAAGUUCGCAUGUUCUUGUUAUUAAAGAAUUUCGGUAAUGGAUGGGGAUGCGUUUCAUUAGAUUGUUGGUGAGGUAACGGCUCACCAAGUCUUCGAUGAAUAGGGGUUCUGAGAGGAAGGUCCCCCACACUGGUACUGAGACACGGACCAGACUCCUACGGGAGGCAGCAGUGAGGAAUAUUGGUCAAUGGGCGCGAGCCUGAACCAGCCAAGUAGCGUGAAGGAUGACUGCCCUAUGGGUUGUAAACUUCUUUUGUUAGGGAAUAAAAUGCGGGACGUGUCCUGCUUUGCAUGUACCUUUCGAAUAAGCAUCGGCUAACUCCGUGCCAGCAGCCGCGGUAAUACGGAGGAUGCGAGCGUUAUCCGGAUUUAUUGGGUUUAAAGGGUGCGUAGGCGGGCAUUUAAGUCAGCUGUGAAAGUUUGGGGCUUAACCCUCGAAAUUGCAGUUGAUACUGGGUGCCUUGAGUAUAGUGGAGGUUUGUGGAAUUCCGUGGUGUAGCGGUGAAAUGCUUAGAUAUCACGAAGAACUCCGAUUGCGUAGGCAGCUGACCAUACUAUAACUGACGCUGAUGCACNAAAGUGUGGGUAUCCAACNGGAUUAGAUACCCCUGGUAGUCCACACAGUAAACCGAUGAAUACUCNCUGUUUGCGAUAUACAGUAAGCCNGCCAAGCCNAAANCCAUUAAAGUAUUCCACCUGGGGAGUACCCCCGGCCNACGGUGAAANCUCCAAAGGAAUUGACCGGGGGCCCCCCCACAANGCCGAAGGAACAUGUGGUUUAAAUUUCCAUGAAUACCCCNAGGAACCUUUACCCCGGGNCUUAAAAUUGCCAAUGAANAACCNUGGGAAAACCNGGUUNACCCCCCCAAGGCCUUUUGUGGAAANGUGCCUG
rnacentral:rRNA from 1 species